AGCCAAUCAGGUGUUUUAGCAUUUUGGUUUUUCGUAUCAAAGGAGUCGUGUUAGUAGACGAUUGGUAAAUU
rnacentral:tRNA from 1 species